AAGCCCUUCGGGGUGAGUAAAGUGGCGAACGGGUGAGUACACGUGGGCAAUCUGCCCUUCGUUGGGGGACAACCGGGGGAAACCCCGGCUAAUACCCCGUAAGCUUGCGGGAUCGCAUGGUCCKGCAAGGAGAGGUAGCUUCGGCCAUCCGGCGAAGGAGGAGCCCGCGGUACAUUAGCUAGUUGGUGAGGUAAUGGCUCACCAAGGCGACGAUGUAUAGCUGGUCUGAGAGGAUGAUCAGCCACACUGGGACUGAGACACGGCCCAGACUCCUACGGGAGGCAGCAGUCGGGAAUCUUGCGCAAUGGGCGAAAGCCUGACGCAGCAACGCCGUGUGAGCGACGAAGGCCCUAGGGUCGUAAAGCUCUGUUGUUAGGGAYGAAGGGCGAAGGGUUAA
rnacentral:rRNA from 1 species